ACAGCCAAGGGGGCACACCAAAAUGGCCCAAAAGAACGGCGC
rnacentral:rRNA from 1 species